rnacentral:rRNA from 1 species
CCUACGGGGGGCAGCAGUGGGGAAUAUUGGACAAUGGGGGCAACCCUGAUCCAGCCAUGCCGCGUGUGUGAAGAAGGCCCUCGGGUUGUAAAGCACUUUCAGUGAGGAAGAACGCCUGGUGGUUAAUACCCAUCAGGAAAGACAUCACUCACAGAAGAAGCACCGGCUAACUCCGUGCCAGCAGCCGCGGUAAUACGGAGGGUGCGAGCGUUAAUCGGAAUUACUGGGCGUAAAGCGCGCGUAGGUGGCUUGAUAAGCCGGUUGUGAAAGCCCCGGGCUCAACCUGGGAACGGCAUCCGGAACUGUCAAGCUAGAGUGCAGGAGAGGAAUGUAGAAUUCCCGGUGUAGCGGUGAAAUGCGUAGAGAUCGGGAGGAAUACCAGUGGCGAAGGCGGCCUUCUGGACUGACACUGACACUGAGGUGCGAAAGCGUGGGUAGCAAACAGGAUUAGAUACCCUAGUAGGC